AGCAGCCGCGGUAAUUCCAGCUCCAAUAGCGUAUAUUAAAGUUGUUGCAGUUAAAAAGCUCGUAGUUGAAUUUCGGGAUCAAUACGCCGGUCGUGCUUCGGUACGUACUGACGUUAUUGGUUUCUCCCUUCUAACAAAUCGUGAUGUCAUUAAUUUGGUGUUACGGGGAGUUAGGACUGUUACUUUGGAAAAAUUAGAGUGUUUAAAGCAAGCAAUCGCUCGGAUACAUUAGCAUGGAAUAAUGAAAUAGGACGUUCGAACCUAUUUUGUUGGUUUCUAGGAUCGACGUAAUGAUUAAUAGGGAUAGUUGGGGGCAUUAGUAUUCAAUUGUCAGAGGUGAAAUUCUUGGAUUUAUUGAAGACUAACUACUGCGAAAGCAUUUGCCAAGGAUGUUUUCAUUAAUCAAGAACGAAAGUUAGGGGAUCGAAGACGAUCAGAUACCGUCGUAGUCUUAACCAUAAACUAUGCCGACUAGGGAUCGGAUGAUGUUAACUUAAUGACUCAUUCGGCGCCUUACGGG
rnacentral:rRNA from 1 species